rnacentral:tRNA from 1 species
GGUUGUUUGGCCGAGCGGUCUAAGGCGCCUGAUUCAAGCUCAGGAAUCGUAAGAUGCAGGAGUUCGAAUCUCCUAGCAACCA